GACGAACGCUGGCGGCGUGCUUAACACAUGCAAGUCGAACGGAAAGGCCCUGCUUUUGUGGGGUGCUCGAGUGGCGAACGGGUGAGUAACACGUGAGUAACCUGCCCUUGACUUUGGGAUAACUUCAGGAAACUGGGGCUAAUACCGGAUAGGAGCUCCUGCUGCAUGGUGGGCGUUGGUAAGUUUCGGCGGUUGGGGAUGGACUCGCGGCUUAUCGGCUUGUUGGUGGGGUAGUGGCUUACCAAGGCUUUGACGGGUAGCCGGCCUGAGAGGGUGACCGGCCACAUUGGGACUGAGAUACGGCCCAGACUGCUACGGGAGGCAGCAGUGGGGAGUAUUGCACAAUGGGCGGAAGCCUGAUGCAGCAACGCCGCGUGCGGGAUGACGGCCUUCGGGUUGUAAACCGCUUUCGCCUGUGACGAAGCGUGAGUGACGGUAAUGGGUAAAGAAGCACCGGCUAACUACGUG
rnacentral:rRNA from 1 species